UACGAAGGGGGCUAGCGUUGUUCGGAAUUACUGGGCGUAAAGCGCACGUAGGCGGGUCGUUAAGUCAGGGGUGAAAUUCCCAGAGCUCAACUCUGGAACUGCCUUUGAUACUGGCGACCUAGAGUUCGAAGAGGUUAGUGGAAUUCCCAGUGGUAGAGGUGAAAUUCGUAGAUAUUGGGAAGAACACCAGUGGCGAAGGCGGCUAACUGGUCCGAUACUGACGCUGAGGUGCGAAAGCGUGGGGAGCAAACAGG
rnacentral:rRNA from 1 species